rnacentral:lncRNA from 1 species
UGAAAGCCAGUAUUGAAAAGCUGCCACGGGGCUGGCAGGGGGCCAGGCGCACCCUACCGCGCUUCCCCAGACCCCACCCCUCACUGUGGGCCUCGUGGGCAGGGCCGUUGGCACCCUGAAGCACAUCAGGGAUCCCCGCCUCCCAGUUCUGGAGCAGGCUGCCCUGCGCGGGCCUCACCCAAACCUGAGCCAGUGCCUGUGUCCCAACGGGAGCCCAGGUGACCAGUGGCACUUCUCAGAAACCUGCCGUGGACAUGGCUCGGUGGAAGGGACAACAGGGCACUUGGAAACAGAGUCCUGCGGUCAGUGCUGCACCUCGGUCGUUACAUUCAGGUCAGAGGGACUGGGAAGGUGGGUUAGGGUCCCUCAUGAGCUGACCUUAGAACAAGCAGGGAGGAGGCCUGGACAGGCCUCCCGACACACCGGUGCUUGACAAGCAGUACUUCCUCUGCCGGGUAGAGAAGAGGAGGCCAGAGAUCUCAUGUACCACAGCUGGCUCCUGGAGGGACGGGCCCAGGAGAGGCCCGAGAGUGACCCCCAGCACAGGAGUGCAGGCAGGAAGGGGACCUCCAUCCGGCAUCCACAUUCUGCUGACCACUGAAUGAGUCAAGAGGGGUCCUGAGCACCCAGAGAGAGCAGACUGGUGACAUUUGGGGUCAACCCCUGAUUCCUGAGCAGAGGACCUGGCCAGAAUUCUGACCCCAGGCUGGGAUCCAAGAAAGGGUGCAGUGUCGCCACUUGCUGGUUGAUUUUUCGGGAAGUAAAAGACCGAGGACGUGGAAUCGACUGUUUAACAUUUUACAAUGCACAAGUCAGGGCACUCUCACUAUUGGGCAACCACUGCCCUCUCUAGUUCCAGAACAUUCUCCCCUCCCCAGGGAGACCCAUCGGCAGUCAGUCCACCUCACUUCCACCCUCAGACCGAGACUCCACCACCCACUUUCCUUCUCUGGGCGUUUGCCUUCUGUGCUUUCCGUGUGGGCGGGACUACGGCAUGCCUUGCCCCUCCGUCCACCAGGACGCUGCCCAGGCCCCCUGGAGCAUCAGCGUGACGAUGCCCUCCCUUCAUUUGUCAGUAGACGCUCGGGCCAUUGCUGCCAUCUGUCAGCAGCCUGGUGCGGGCUUUUGCCCGGCCGCCUGUUCCCAUUUCUGUUGUGCGUGCCCAUCCCCAGGAGUGGACGUGCGGCUUGCUGAGGAGCCCCGACCGGUCUCCGCACAGCUGCUGCACUUUGCCUGCCCCUGCAACACGAGAGGCAGCCCUGCUGUCCACGGCGCGAGGCUGUGCAGGAAGGCGGUAGGAGACAAGCUCAGGGGCUGGUCAGGCCUGGGGGGUGGGUAGCGACGGGACCUCCCUCAUCCCAGGCUGCCAGCCUCCGCCCCAGCUCCCUGAGCCCCCAGGUGGAGUCAGAACAGCCCCAAGGGCCAUGGCAAGACCCCAGCACACAGGGGUGACA